rnacentral:lncRNA from 1 species
AUGAUGGGCACACGUCGUUCUUGCCAACAUAAGAUUUUAUUACAAUGAGCGUGUCUAUCACAUUGAUGUAUUUAAUGAUGUUAUAGAUUGCAUGAUGAGGGAGUUAAAUGAUAGAUUUUCAUAGCAAACAGUUGAACUUCUUACUCUUAGCUUAGCAUUGGAUCUGCGUAAUUCUUUCAUGUCAUUCAAUAUUAGGCAUAUAUGUAAACUUGCAGAGAAAUUCUAUCCUGCUGAUUUCCUUCCUCAGGAGUUGAAAGCUUUAGCAGUAGAGCUCACGUAUUUUCAAAAUGAUAUAAAACGCCUUCCAUGCUUUAAGGAAAUCACUACUCUUCCUCAGUUAUGUCAAUAAUUGGUUGAAACAACUUUGGGGAAAAACUACUAUUUGAUUGACAGGUUGAUUCGGUUGGUGUUGACUCUUCCUAUUCCUACAACAACAAUGGAACGAGCUUUCUCAUGUAUGAAAAUUAUUAAGAAUCGAUUUCGAAGCACUAUAAGUGAUGGAUAUUUUGCUGACUGUAUGAGCCUCCACAUUAAAAGAGAGUUUGCCAAUACUAUUGACAAUGCAUCGAUAAUUGAGGAAUUUAAGAGUUCUAAGCCUUGUAGGGUUAAAUUUUAUAUUUAAAUAGUGUUACUUUGUAUUGCAUUGCAUUGCAUUUACUUUUUGUUUUUAUUUUAGUUUUUGUAUUUG